ACAGAUUAUAGAUCAACGACAUCAAACUUCCUUGAAUAAUUGCCAAGGUCUUAUUUUUGCUAAAUUAAAUAAUUUUAUUACUUUACUAUUCUUAGCUAUAUUAAAACUACAAUUAGUCUUUUGUUACAGAGGUAGAAAAACAACCUGAACCCUCCAUGGAUGAGAUGUAUACAAGAAUCACACAAAUGAGGAUAGAAUAUUUGAAGUAUGAGCAAGCACAACUUAGAAAUGAAUUAUAUAAAGGAGUAUUACCAGAUAAAUCAUGCAAAGAAUGACUAUAUGUAUAUUCGAAUAUUAUGUUAUUGCAUUUACAAAAUUUAAGUUUACAUUGUUACAAAUAAAUGUUAUUUACCCCCAUUUAUUAGACGCUCAAAUUGAUGGACUUCGUUUUUCAUUUUCACCAUAUCUAAUAUCCAACGUGGAAAUAUGAUUACAUAAUUAUAGCAUAUUUAAAUGAAAGUUCCGUAGUUUAUUAAUAAAUUAAGUAAGUUUAAAUCUUUUAGAGCUUACAACUCAGUAAAUGAAUUAAAUGAAUGAGAUUGACUUAUAUUAUUCAAUCACAUAAUUAUAUUGUGAUCCAUAAACAGAUUACAAAUAAAGAUAAUU
rnacentral:lncRNA from 1 species